rnacentral:rRNA from 1 species
UGGUGGAGUGAUUUGUCUGGUUAAUUCCGUUAACGAACGAGACCUUGACCUGCUAACUAGUCACAGUAAAUGCUUUUGUGUUUGCUGGCUGAUCUUCUUAGAGGGACAAUCUGUGUUUCCAGCAGAUGGAAGUGCGAGGCAAUAACA